UUGUGCAUAUCUUUUUUGGAUCUAAUAAGUUACACAUAUCUAACUGUUGUAUAAUUAUAAUGUUAGAAGACCCACCAGAUCAAGGGCCACUAUUUUCUAAUUAACGUAGAAUUUUCUAGCCUAAUUCUCUUGCCUCUAAUUAGCCCAUCAAUCACUUUUUAUAUAUAAAUAGAUAGAUGUACUCAUGUCAUCCUGUAAUAUGAAAACCCGUUCAUGUGCGAUUUUUCAGAAAACUGUAAAUUAUGCAUCUAAAUUCGAGUUAUCAGGGAGCAUGUGAUCUGUUUGGAUAUCUCAAAGUUAGUUAUAAUUCUUGGCAGGAUCAUAAGGGUAUGAACAUAAAAUAACCUACAUGUACAAAUUGGUGGUGCAUAGAUAAUGUACAAGGACGAUACAGCUCAGAUCGAGGACGCACGACACCUAUAGAGGCACGGAGUUGAGGAAAGAACCAGUGAAAUAAGCAAAUCAUGAUCGGUCGAGGAACGAGCCAGCACUGGAAGCGUGACUGUGCGGGCAUGGUAGGGGAAUGAGCCUGGAGAUUUUCUGACCAAGCUCUUCAAUAGCAUCGCCUUCAUGAUCCCAUGAAGCACAAGCUUGAUACAGGCUACUGCUUGCACUCUGGGAUAAAACGACUAAAUUAUGGUUUAAUUGUUGGUUGCUUCAGUGACAUAGAGCUGUAAAUGUGAAGCAAAGGAGUGCCAUGCUUAGAACGUUUCGUACACUAAAAUGGGUAAUAAACUAUGUACUUUUUGUGGUUCUACAGAUUGUCAGGGUUGUGUACAUACAAUUAUUACUCCCUCCAUUCCAUACUGUAGUGGUUUUAGCCCUAAACUUUCUAAACACUCUGAAUUGGUGGAUAAAUUUGCCACCUGCGAGUUAUCUGUUUUGUA